rnacentral:tRNA from 1 species
UCUAAUAUGGCAGAUUAGUGCGAUGGGUUUAAGCCCCAUAUAUAAAGGAUUUACUUUUAUUAGAA